rnacentral:lncRNA from 1 species
GGGUAAUCCAAUUUACUAGUCACUUCAGAGCUGAUAUGAAGGUCAAAAGGUACUUGGCAACAUCGUUUGGAAUCGGGAUUACUUGUAGGUUAUUUAUCCUUAAGAAGUAUUGUAAUGUCUGUGUAUAAAGUGCAUUAUUCCUUAGAAACUGCCUCGGUCAAAUAACACAGGCUUAAGAUUCUCAUUUUCUGUCCCUUUAUGCUGUGUACAUGCAGAGUCAAUCCAUUGUUAUUACACAGCCAAUUAUAGGACCAAAACAUAAUUUGCAUUUCUUUUCUCCUUUUUAGUCAUAAUCUUGAUGAUUAUAGCCAAGCUCUAUUUUGUAAUUUUAAAGAAAUCCCCUGAAUGUACUUCCACAAGCCAUUUUAAUUAUUCUCAUGAUAUCUGCGGUAGGUAGGUGAAAAUAGUCACUAACAGCCAUAAAUGAUAACUAAGAAGUAUGUGACCAUAGCAAUGUGUUAGGAGACACAUAUUUACGGGAUUUUUAUUUAAAUUGAUUAGCAUUGCUUCAUGCAUACACCAGUGGUUCUCAACUGUCCAUCAGACUAAGCUGGCAAGAUUGUUAAUAGUUUAGAUACUCAGGUUCAUGCCCAGAGAUGGUUCUCAUUUUCUAUCUGUCUCUAUCUCUACCUGAUGCCCAGAGAUUGUUCAUGCCCAGAGAUAGUUCACUUUCUUUAAGUGUAUCUCUAGCUCUCUCUCUCUUUAUCAUGUCCUACUUCCAGAUGAUACAAAUUUGCAGCUAAGGCUGAGAAACGCUGAUCUAGAUGAGAAUGUACCAAGCAGAAAGAUUAAGUGAAUUAUUAAUGCCCACAAAGUCAUUUGAUUUUGUACAUCCCAG